UGGGAUUACGGGACUGUGCCAUCCUGCUCC
rnacentral:piRNA from 1 species